rnacentral:sRNA from 1 species
GGCCUGCUGCGGGCAGAUCCAGUGGAUGUGAGUGUCGAUCCCGCCAGCGGUGACGAUCUUCCCUUCGGCGGCGAUCGCUUCCGUGGCGGCACCGAUCGGGAUCGUCACCCCGGGCUGAAUGUCCGGGUUACCGGCUUUGCCAACGGCAAAGAUCCGCCCGUUCUUCACGCCGAUAUCCGCUUUCACGAUCCCCCAGUGAUCGACAAUCAACGCGUUAGUCAGCACCAGAUCCACGCAGUCAUCCGCGGUCAUCUGCCCCUGGCCCAUACCGUCGCG